GCUGGGAUUACAGGCGUGAGCCACCGCGCCCAGCCCCUAUGGUGGCGUGAUUUAAGUAAGUUACACUCAGUAACGUCGCUCUCAAAUGUCACAGAGUGAAGGUCUUCAUUAUCUUUAUCAGAUGAUAAUUUUACCUGCAAAUUUCACUUCAGCUGGGGGUAACAAUGAGGUCUUUCUCAAUUUCCCGUCGUGACUCUGCACCUAGGAAAAUCAGCAAAGGAGAUACAGUCAGAAAAGUUAAUAGCAUAGGUAUGUUAGGAUUAACUGCAGUGCCUCUCUAGUAGGACAUCUGGAUGUGACCAUUGUCUCCAGAUCUGUGGACCAACAAUGAACCCAUUCAGAAAUGACCUUUGAAAAGGCCAUUUCUGCUGGCAUUGCAGUGUGCACUUGUAGUCCCAGCCACUUGAGAGGCUGAGGCAGGCAGAUCGGUGUGGACUACGCUGAUUCGGAUUGUGCACUAAGUUCAACUUCAAUAUGGUGACCUUCUGGGAGCAGGGGACUACCAGGCUGCCUAAGGAGGGAUAAACUGUCCCAGGUAAAAAAUGGAGCAGAUGAAAACUCCUGUGCCGUUCAGUAGUGAGAGUGCACCUGUGAAUAGGUACAUGUCUUACGGUGCGAGAGCAUAACGUCCAUACUAUAGUGUCUUCUUUGGAGAUUUUUAGAUACUUUUGACCUCUCUGGUAUUUUCUCUCAUGGUGAGUCUGUCCUAACAACCUUAUUAUCAACGUGUUUUUGCAAUUUAACCAUACUCCAUGGAAGAAGCCCUUUAACAUGAGACUUCUUCCAAAGUACUCCAUUGGCUUCCGGAAUAGAGGACUGCCUUUUGAUUCCUUUGUCUGGCUACCACAAGAGAGAGAUUCGUGGGAUCCAACCUGCCAUCAGGUCAACUGUUUUGUCCCAGAUGUCUCUUUUCAGGUUAAUGCCCCUCUAUCUUUAGGUCUUCAGCCUCAAUUUGACUUCCCCAGCUCAUCCGCUGAAGAGUGCAGAGUUAUGUCAGGUGAGGAAUCCCUCCAUCUCUAGUUUGGAAUGUUGCUGGGAGGAGGGCUGUCUCUCUGCAGUAGGUGAAAGUUUUAUUCAUUUAAACUAUAGUAUAUGUUAUAAACUAUAAUACAUUGUG